UGAAAGCGAGGGCCGAAGGCCCGAGGAAAUUUUUAAAUUUAGAGUCUCUGAAAUGCCAUUUCCUGGACUUUGGGGAAGAUUUGACAGAUUUCUGAUUGUCAAAAAACAGCGUUUUUAGUAUGUGGAAAUUUAGAGUUCAGUAGUACUAAAUGGGCGAAAGUGUAUUUAAUUAACGAUAUUUUGGAUAAGUUGCAGGAAAGUAUGGGUAAUAUCUUCAUUCUUUGAAGUUUGUCAUGGAUUAAAUGAUAAAGGUCUGCAUGAUUUUGAAAAAUGAAUGAUUAUUAGCAAAUUGUUGGGGGGGGGGCUGCAGCCCCCCAGCCCUCCCCCCCCCCCGCGGUUGCUUCGGCCCUGGAGAGGUCUGGGGUUUUCUCUCCCAGAAAAUGUUUGUAUUUUUCUACCCCUAUGACUGCAAUUCCCUGCAUUUUCUAAAACAGAUUUUUGGAUAUACAGCAUUACAUUAUGCUGUAGAUAUAGACUGAACCUUCAGUUAAGUACUUGCAUAGUAUGUUUAUGUAGAUACCACAACUUGGCCGUCACUUAGGGAGCCAGCUUGAUAAACUUAGAGUUCCCGACUCCCACGAAGCGCCACCAUGGUUGGCACAGAGCGGAAAAAUUUUGAAAAUUUUGCGUCUCUAAAUCGUCGGAAAUGGCAUUUUCAAAGUCUUCUAUACGUCUUUUGUUAGGCCCUUUCAUUAAUUCGUUCAUUAUGAUUUGUGAGUCUAUGAUAUCCACGAGUCAGGAUGGAUUAUUACGAGAAAUGUUAUCAAAAUAUCGAUUACAGAUAUUUGAUUAUAUGUAUAUAUGAUUUCAAAUACUUCUAGUUUCGAAAUCAAAUUGUUUUUUUUUUGGUGGGGGCCAAAAUUAUCCCCCCCCCCUUAUAAAACACUUGGUUGAGGGCCUGUUGCCCCCUGCGGUCACUAACUUGUCC